UAUCAAACUGAAAAAAAGACCAAAUAAGUUUUAAAUCAAUAAAAAUAUUAUCUUAUUAAGUUAUCAAAAAAGAUGCUGUCGAACAUGCCCUAAAACUAUCUCAGUACUACUCUAUUCAAAUAGAGCCAAAACUCACCUCAAUUUACCGUCUUCUCCGCAUCCAAAAUUCACAAAUCCAUGGCGGGCUUUAAAAAGUUGGAGGGAACUUGAAAAUAAAAAAAGAGCGGCAAAACUCAUUAAAACCUCAAAAUCGCUCUUUUCUUCCCUCCUCUUCUCUUUCUCUCUCCUCCGCUCAUCUCUCUAAUGGCGGCGUCUUCGAGUCGUCUUCGUCUUCUUCCCUAUCGACCUGAACACGAGCAGGUUCGAGGCUUGUCAAAUGAUGAAUCUUCCCGGAAUGUGUGGCAAAUUUUGAUCCAAUUUAGAUGCCAGUCAAAGCUUGUCAGAUAUUCAUCCUUUCAGAAGAGAUAGGGAAAGCACUUCAACUUAACAUACAAACUUCGGGAUUUGCUGGGUUUGCAGAUAAAAUUGUCCAGUGGCAAUCUGCUCUGUUCCAAGUUCAUAAAGACUAAAGAGGUUUUCCAAGGAAGCUGACAGCUGUUACAACCAUCUGCUUGAUGCCUUUUGUUCAAUACCUUGUAAGGUAAAUUGAUUAGAUCAGAUGGGAU